AUGGCAUAGCAUACCUCGCGCCUGGGCUCGCAUAACGCACUUUCUCCUUCACCCUGAUCCACGUCGCAUGGCCUGGAAUGACCAAUCUCGCACCCCAGCUCACUAGGCGAGCUCCCCUCCUCGCCCUACACCUUGCGGUGUGCCCUCUGGCACCAUGUAAGUCACCUCUCCCCUUUUCUUUUAUUUUCACCCUUAUUACCGCCGACAAAUCCGCCCAAAACACACAAAGGCCCCUCGCCAGAAAUCCCCUCUUAUCCUCACUUAUUCAUAAUACUCUCCCAAACCUUUCUCUUCCUCACCACACUAAUACCCCCACUAACACACACGCCUCCAUACCUUCCAUCUUCACUUAUUUUUAAGAAUCAAGGUACAUUGAUAAUGGUGCGUCCAACUCCCGAUGCUAAACCUUCGGCCAAGGCCAUGGCCCCAGAGGAAAGUCAUCCUCUUCCACACCACCGCCUAAGAAAAGUAAAUGAUGUGAUGCUGUAUCUAGUAGCCAAAUUAAAGGGAGGUAAGAAGUGGAAGAAAUUUCCGCAUAAAAACAACGGGCUAGGGGUGAGCGUGAAUAUGGGAUCAAGAGUGUACCUCUCUCUGCCAAGGCAUGGUAUAAAAAAAUGUCACCCCAAUAAUUAUCAUCCUGAUUUGGCUAUAUAGUAGAACCGAUUGAAGUCAAAAACACCCUGAAACCUGGCAUGAUAUACAUGACUUGGGCCUAAGCUUUGUGUUUUGAAAUAUUAGAGAUGCAAAUUUAAUCCUGCUUGGAGAAUUUUAUGAUGGAAGGUAUCUUGAGUAGUAAGAGCAAUUGGUGCCUAUCCAUGGGCGAUCGAUUUGACAUAUCUGCUAGUGAGCUGUGAAACCACUUGGUGGCAGCUGAUGUUCUGCAUGCUCCAUUGGCCAAUUUCAUUGCCUUGCUGCCUUAUAGAGAGAUUUGACACACUUUUUGUGAUUUCAAUUCCAAUGCCACUUGGAUUUGGGAGAAAAGAACUAACAGCAACGUUAAAUUUUCAAGGAAGAAGUUCAACGUUGCUGCUGACAUAUGGUUGAAGUUAUUGAACUCGAGGUUGCAGUCGUGUGACCAUGACACACACAUUAGCAAGGACAGAGUUUGCAUGCUGUAAUCUUUUAUGACAUGACAAAAGGUUAAAGUGGGAAAGCUGAUACGCCACCGAUGUGAAUGUUUGGAGGAGUAACAGAGUGGUCAUGAUUUUCUUUGGCAAUGUGGUGAUGGAUUUUUAGAAAGGAGGAGGUCGACGAGGAGCUAGAGUUUGACAUGAUUAUUCCCGCCGCUCCUCGUGCCACAUAUAUUACUAGCAUUCGUGGGAAGGGCGAGGAAGAUGGGUCAUUUUUUACCAAUGUCAAGCGUCAGAAUCGUGAUGAUAGCUUUAUGAAAAACCUCUAUGGGAUGCUUGAUCUAUAUUUGCAGAUUGGUGGUAGACCUACAACUCUAGAGGAACGUGCAUAGUUGAAUGAGCGAUUUUCACUCGAUGCUCAUGCCCAGCACUUGGUGGGGAUUGCUGAUGUAAAAAGGAUUCCUACUUAUGAGGACAUUAACACUCUCGAACAUUCGGUGCGUGGAGAUGAGGAGCAGCAAGAGUAGGAGGCUGAUGAGGGUGAUUAUGAUCAUUUGGGAGAUGAUGUUGAUGAUUGGGAGGAGGCGGACCGAGUCUUCUUUUCAGAGGAUGGCUAUGAUGAUUGAUCAGAGAGUUUCUUGACCACCUUUCCUAGUUUUGUUUUGCUUAUGCAGUAAGGAUACUCAUCCUUUAAGUGUGGGGUUAGAGACUCUCUGUGGUUUGUUUAGUAUUAUAUUAGUACCAUGUUAGCUUCGUAUUUUGAUUUUUAGCUGCUUAUUUUCAUUUUA